GAUGAACGCUGGCGGCGUGCUUAACACAUGCAAGUCGAACGGAAAGGCCUCUGCUUGCAGGGGUACUCGAGUGGCGAACGGGUGAGUAACACGUGGGUGAUCUGCCAUGAACUUCGGGAUAAGCCUGGGAAACUGGGUCUAAUACCGGAUAGGACAAUGGUUUGGAUGCUGUUGUGGAAAGUUUUUCGGUGUGGGAUGGGCUCGCGGCCUAUCAGCUUGUUGGUGGGGUAAUGGCCUACCAAGGCGUGGACGGGUAGCCGGCCUGAGAGGGUGUACGGCCACAUUGGGACUGGGAUGCGGCCCAGACCCGUACGGGAGGGAGGAGUGGGGAAUAUUGCUCAAUGGGCGCAAGCAUGAUGCAGCGGCGCCGCGUGGGGGAUGACGACCUUCGGGUUGUAAACUCCUUUCGCUAGGGACGAAGCGUUUUUGUGACGGUACCUGGAGAAUAAGCACCGGCUAACUCUGUG
rnacentral:rRNA from 1 species